rnacentral:rRNA from 1 species
AAAAACAUGGCUUCUYGUGUUUAAAAAAUGGGGAGUUGGACCUGCCCAGUGAAUUUUUUUAACGGCCGCGGUACUCUGACCGUGCAAAGGUAGCAUAAUCAUUUGCCUUAUAAUUGAAGGCUAGUAUGAAUGGUUUGACAAGAAUGUAGCUGUCUCAUUAUAGUUAUAUAGAAUUUUAUCUUCAGGUGAAGAAGCCUGUUUAAAAUUGAAAGACAAGAAGACCCUAUCGAGCUUUAAAAAAACUAAUAGACGCAAGAUCUAUUAUAUUAAAAGAUUAACUAUUAAAAAUUUUAGUUGGGGCGACCGAGGAACAAAAAGAGCUUCCUUUAAAUUUAGUGAGACUAACAAGUUAACGAUCCAAAAUAUUUUGAUCGAAGGAAUUAGUUACCGUAGGGAUAACAGCAUUAUCUUUUUCAAGAGUUCUUAUCGAAAAAAAGGUUUGUGACCUCGAUGUUGGACCAGAAUAUCCUAAAGAUGCAGCAGUCUUUAAGGGUUGGUCUGUUCGACCAUUAAAAUUCUACGUGAUCUGA